AACGAAAUGAUAUGCAGUCUUUGUGGCCAUGUACAGAUACGGAUCAUCCUCAUCCGCGAAACAGAAGUCGACGUCGCGCGCGACGGACACAUGGACAUUCGAAAAGGCCAAGAGCGACGUGACUAGCACUAACAACAACGCGCACAUUAUGUAGUGGAAACUGUCGUUCCUGCAACAAUAUGAUACCACGCAAGUGCCACCAUCGUCUCUAAGCAUCGUUGCAAAUUUCAUUUCAAUGUGAAAUCCAUUAUCCACGCCCGUCCCGCUUUAAGCGUCAUUUCGAGGAUAAUUUAAUACGCAUAUAUUCAGCGGAUAAACAAGAAAAUAUUCAGUUCUUGUUUUUUACAUAAUAGAGAUGCCUCAGAGGAAAUCAUUAUUAUGGAAAUAGAGGAUAUCUAAUCUCCGAAUUCACGAAUAAGUUAGUGUACAAUCGAUUGAAAAAAAACUUAAUUGUUAGAUUGUUAGAAUGAGUGAAAUCUCAAAAUCACUUUAACGAUUACUUUGAUCGGGAUGGAAUUAUUUAAGAACGAAGGAUAUCGUGAUUUAUAAAAGAAAUCGAGAUAAUUACUCUUAGAAAGGAAAAGGAUAUUACGAAAGAAAGAAGAUUGGAAUAAUUAUGAAAAAGACUAAGAGAAAAUCGAAGCAAAAAACGAUCGCGAAUAAAACUUUUUUAUGGGAGAUUUGUGGAUGACUUCAAAUUAUGAUGAUCUAACAUUGAUUCUACGUAAAAUAUCGAAAAGAUACGCUUAAAUAUCCUUCGCGAUAAAUUUGCGCAGAUGCAGCGAAACGGUAAUGACAGCAUACAAUAAAGGAAUGUACGUCGCUGUUAGAUAUAUAGCUGUCAUGUAUGAUGACGUAUGCUUGUGCGAGAAAGAAUAUGUAAAGAUUAUCAACUAUCCGGAAAA